rfam:Solanum lycopersicum cultivar Heinz 1706 chromosome 5, whole genome shotgun sequence.
GUGUUUCCUAGAGUUCCCUUGAUCACUUCAUGAUGGCUUACUUUGUUGUUUGAAGCCUUACUGAAGUGUUUGGGGGAACUCCCGGAUUCAC